GGAAUAUUGGACAAUGGGCGCAAGCCUGAUCCAGCCAUGCCGCGUGCAGGAUGACGGUCCUAUGGAUUGUAAACUGCUUUUAUACAGGAAGAAACAGUUCUACGUGUAGAACCUUGACGGUACUGUAAGAAUAAGGAUCGGCUAACUCCGUGCCAGCAGCCGCGGUAAUACGGAGGAUCCAAGCGUUAUCCGGAAUCAUUGGGUUUAAAGGGUCCGUAGGCGGUCAGAUAAGUCAGUGGUGAAAGCCCAUCGCUCAACGGUGGAACGGCCAUUGAUACUGUCUGACUUGAAUUAUUAGGAAGUAACUAGAAUAUGUAGUGUAGCGGUGAAAUGCUUAGAGAUUACAUGGAAUACCAAUUGCGAAGGCAGGUUACUACUAAUUGAUUGACGCUGAUGGACGAAAGCGUGGGUAGCGAACAGGAUUAGAUACCCCAG
rnacentral:rRNA from 1 species